CAGGAAAGUCUUGAUCCUUAGCUGAAGAUUUCUGCAGUAUGAGCAACAGGGCAAAGUAGCUGAUCACAUCUGAAAUGACUAGGAAACAAAGGCUAAAUAUGGAAUUAGUAGAUAUUGUGAUUAGAGCAGUUGAGAACUUGAUGUUCUGAUUUCAAAGAAAAAUAAGAAAUUCUGAAAAGAAAAUAGAUCUGCUUCAACUGGAAAAAAAAAAAGUGUUUUUUGUUCUUGUUUUUGUUUUUAGCUAAAUGUAGGCCUGAAAAUACUGUUUCAACUUAAUUGGAAGCAUUUAAUUGGGCUGAAAUGAAUGCAAAGUUCACUUCCAGUCACUGUCAUGACUAGAUCAGAUGCUAACUUCUAGCUUGCUGAAAGCAAGGAAAGUAUAAUAAAUGCCAUGCUUACCCAUACAGGACAAAGAAACAAGGUGUGAUUUUCCAGUUUGCAGACCUGUAACAUACAGAGGAACAAACGUGCAUCGUGCCUGGACCACUGUGGGAUGCAAAGUUUGCACUUCGAAACAAAGGAUUUGCAGCAAAAGGAUCGCUUUGCAGAUACUCUGAGGACUUUUGAAAUCAUAGUCUGCUUGCAUGAUCCAUCUUGCUAAUGAGUGAAUGCUGGUCAACUUAUUCUCCUGCUAGAAACCAAAAUCAG
ensembl:lncRNA